GGCACUACGGUGCUGAAGCAACAAAUGCCCUGCUUCCAGGAAAAGCCUCUAAGCAUCAGGUAACACGAAAUCGUACCCCAAACCGACACAGGUGGUCAGGUAGAGAAUACCAAGGCGCUUGAGAGAACUCGGGUGAAGGAACUAGGCAAAAUGGUGCCGUAACUUCGGGAGAAGGCACGCUGACACGUAGGUGAAGUGAUUUACUCAUGGAGCUGAAGUCAGUCGAAGAUACCAGCUGGCUGCAACUGUUUAUUAAAAACACAGCACUGUGCAAACACGAAAGUGGACGUAUACGGUGUGACGCCUGCCCGGUGCCGGAAGGUUAAUUGAUGGGGUCAGCGCAAGCGAAGCUCCUGAUCGAAGCCCCGGUAAACGGCGGCCGUAACUAUAACGGUCCUAAGGUAGCGAAAUUCCUUGUCGGGUAAGUUCCGACCUGCACGAAUGGCGUAAUGAUGGCCAGGCUGUCUCCACCCGAGACUCAGUGAAAUUGAACUCGCUGUGAAGAUGCAGUGUACCCGCGGCAAGACGGAAAGACCCCGUGAACCUUUACUAUAGCUUGACACUGAACAUUGAGCCUUGAUGUGUAGGAUAGGUGGGAGGCUUUGAAGUGUGGACGCCAGUCUGCAUGGAGCCGACCUUGAAAUACCACCCUUUAAUGUUUGAUGUUCUAACGUGGACCCGUAAUCCGGGUUGCGGACAGUGUCUGGUGGGUAGUUUGACUGGGGCGGUCUCCUCCUAAAGAGUAACGGAGGAGCACGAAGGUUGGCUAAUCCUGGUCGGACAUCAGGAGGUUAGUGCAAUGGCAUAAGCCAGCUUGACUGCGAGCGUGACGGCGCGAGCAGGUGCGAAAGCAGGUCAUAGUGAUCCGGUGGUUCUGAAUGGAAGGGCCAUCGCUCAACGGAUAAAAGGUACUCCGGGGAUAACAGGCUGAUACCGCCCAAGAGUUCAUAUCGACGGCGGUGUUUGGCACCUCGAUGUCGGCUCAUCACAUCCUGGGGCUGAAGUAGGUCCCAAGGGUAUGGCUGUUCGCCAUUUAAAGUGGUACGCGAGCUGGGUUUAGAACGUCGUGAGACAGUUCGGUCCCUAUCUGCCGUGGGCGCUGGAGAACUGAGGGGGGCUGCUCCUAGUACGAGAGGACCGGAGUGGACGCAUCACUGGUGUUCGGGUUGUCAUGCCAAUGGCACUGCCCGGUAGCUAAAUGCGGAAGAGAUAAGUGCUGAAAGCAUCUAAGCACGAAACUUGCCCCGAGAUGAGUUCUCCCUGAGACUUAGAGUCUC
rnacentral:rRNA from 1 species